rnacentral:rRNA from 1 species
UACGGAGGUGGCAAGCGUUACUCGGUUUGACUGGGUGUAAAGGGUCCGUAGGCGGCUAUAAAAGUGAAAGGUGAAAUCUUUCGGCUUAACCGAAAAACUGCCUUUCAAACUUUAUAGCUCGAGGAUGGAAGAGGAGAGCGGAACUGCCGGUGUAAAGGUGAAAUUUGUGGGUAUCGGUAGGAACGCCUGUGGAGAAGUCGGCUCUCUGGUCCAUUCCUGACGCUGAGGGACGAAAGCUAGGGGAGCAAACAGGAUUAGAUACCCUGGUAGUCCUAGCUGUAAACGAUGAGCACUAGGUGUUCGUCCGUAAGGAUGGGUGCCGUAGCUAACGCAUUAAGUGCCCCACCUGGGGACUACGGCCGCAAGGCUGAA